AAUCGCUAGUAAUCGCGGAUCAGCAUGCCGCGGUGAAUACGUUCCCGGGCCUUGUACACACCGCCCGUCACACCACGAGAGUUUGCAACACCCGAAGUCGGUGAGGUAACCUUUAUGGAGCCAGCCGCCGAAGGUGGGGCAGAUGAUUGGGGUGAAGUCGUAACAAGGUAGCCGUAUCGGAAGGUGCGGCUGGAUCACCUCCUUUCUAAGGA
rnacentral:rRNA from 1 species